rnacentral:snRNA from 1 species
GUGCUUGCUUCAGCAGCAUAUAUACUAAAAUUGGAACGAUACAGAGAAGAUUAGCAUGCCCCC